UGACCUCAGAUCAGGCAAGGCUACCCGCUGAAUUUAAGCAUAUUAAUAAGCGGAGGAAAAGAAACUAACAAGGAUUCCCCUAGUAAUGGCGAAUGAAGCGGGAACAGCUCAAAUUUAAAAUCUCCGUUGCUUGCAACGGCGAAUUGUAGUUUCGAGAAGCACUUUCUCGGCGGAUCCGAGGUCGUCCAAGUUGCUUGGAACAGCACGUCGUAGAGGGUGAAAACCCCGUCUGCGGCGACCUCGGCCGUUCACGAUGUGCUUUCGACGAGUCGGGUUGUUUGGGAAUGCAGCCCAAAAUGGGUGGUAAACAAUUAGUUUAAAUACUCGAUUCCGCUUUUUCCUGCAAUAGAUGUAGUCGUUAUCCAAGUUUAAGAUUAUACUCAAAAGUUUGAAUAUCACAUUAAAUCAAGUAAUCUGCUUCGUGUCAUCUCGACAGGUGAUUUGCUAUGAUUAAAAAGAGAUUAAAGAGAUGAAGCAGUGGCAAAACGCAAAGCGCAUUUUACAUUACUGAUGUAAUCCAAAAAAACGGUUUUGAUAAUUAUGUGCCAAUGCUUUGACUUUAUUACCAAUUCCGAUUAGCGGUCGUCAUGUACUAGCUUGUUUGAAAAGUUUUCUAAAAAGUUUUUAUAAAUUUUCUUAUAUGUGCAAUCGUUAUUACCUUUACUUGGAAAAUAAGUAUUAAUUACACUUUUCGAAACGUCUACACAGGGGGAUGAUAAUCUUUCAAAUGGUUUAGAAAAACCAACUAUAAACUGGUCUGUUUAUUGCCAACUGUCAAUUUCACACAAGAUAUGUAACUUCCGCCCUGCAAAGGAAUAAAAUCCAUCAUUCGAUAACUUCGAUUGCUUACAAUUUCGAACGAUCCUUACGGUUGGACAUUAUUUAUUUUAUUCUAUUCCAAAAUAAGGAAUCAGAUUUUUUGAUGAGUUGCUCUUUCUGUUUUCUCUUCUUUUUUUUGCGUUGUGUUUGAGAAACUUUGGGAUUCCUGUGUGCGCUGCCGGUCACGUGGAAGCACCAUGAAAAACA
rnacentral:ncRNA from 1 species